UACGGAGGGUGCAAGCGUUAUCCGGAUUUACUGGGUUUAAAGGGUGUGUAGGCGGGCUUUUAAGUCAGUGGUGAAAUCUCCGGGCUCAACCUGGAAACUGCCAUUGAUACUAUUAGUCUUGAAUUUUGUUGAGGUAGGCGGAAUAAGUCAUGUAGCGGUGAAAUGCAUAGAUAUGACUUAGAACACCAAUUGCGAAGGCAGCUUGCUAAACAAAUAUUGACGCUGAGGCACGAAAGCGUGGGAUCAAACAGG
rnacentral:rRNA from 1 species